GAUUUGAGAGUGGCUUGGUUUAGCAGUUCUUAGUCUCCCAUGAGGCUAAGUGAACAUGUUGGCUGUAAAAAUGUUGGUUACCAUCAUGUGAAGUCUUGACUGAGCCUGGAGGAUUCCCCUUCAAGAUGGUGCACUCACAUGGUUAGCAGGCACCUGUACUGUUGCUGUGAUAUCUUCCAUUACAACCAGAAUGCCACCAAAGAAGUCACCUCCAUGCCAGUGAAACCUCUUCCUGACUGCUCAAGGCACAUUUUGGAAGAGGGGACCACGGCGAUUUUUAAGGACACAGCUGUGAGACACCAAUGCAUUGCUGAGACCAAUUG